rnacentral:rRNA from 1 species
UACGUAGGGGGCUAGCGUUGUCCGGAAUCAUUGGGCGUAAAGCGCGUGUAGGCGGUCCGGUAAGUCCGCUGUGAAAGUCGAGGGCUCAACCCUCGGAAUGCCGGUGGAUACUGUCGGGCUAGAGUGCGGAAGAGGCGAGUGGAAUUCUCGGUGUAGCGGUGAAAUGCGUAGAUAUCGAGAGGAACACCUGCGGCGAAGGCGGGUAGCUGGGCCGACACUGACGCUGAGGCGCGAAAGCCAGGGGAGCGAACGGG